CUAAAGUGUUGUCAAGAUGUUUUUGUUUUGUUAUGUGGUUCUUUAGAAUUUUUCUGAUUUUUUAAUAAAAAAGUGGUUUUUCUGUACACUAUGUGAGUGUAUUCGGUUCCUUAAGGCCUGAUUAACCUCUUGAAAAUGAUCGUUAUUAAUAAUACACACCAGCACAUAAGGACCUCUCAAAAGAAUUGACCUGGGUCACCCCUUGUAUAAUCCUGAUGUUUAGCUACCAUUUUGGUUUACGAUAUUGAUCGUCUAUUAUCCAAUUAACAAUUUUGUACAACAAAUCAACCGAUGGAUGCAGUUCCAGGGCAGUACAUUUAAUCUUUUGCUAAAUAUUACCGACAAUGGCAUCAGGACUUAUAAGUAUAUCUAAAAUUUCAUUUCUAUUGGGUAAAUAAAUGUAUUUUUUACUGGUUUUUAAUGUUCAUCAUGAGAAUUCAUCAUUUUUAAAUUCAAUUAAGAAAAAAAAUCCAUUUGAGUUACAUUUUUAUGUUUCCUUAUUAUCAUAACCAAAUUCAGACAAUCUAUUUUAAAUUUGUGCUAAUUUUUAGCUCUUGGACACUUCUUUUUCUUUUUGGUAGAAUAACAUCUACUUAGUGUUUUUUUUGGUUUACUUUUAUUUCUCUAUAAUAGCUUGACUCUCAUCUCUUCUUGAUUGUGGGAAUAAUAUCAUUUAUCAGUCCUAUAAAUUAUUUCUUUGCCUGUAUUUCUAUAUGUCUUAUUUGUUUGGUAAAAUAUACCAUCUACUUAGAAUUUUACUUCAUGUUGUUUAUGGUUAACUUUCAUUUUUGUAUAAAAACUUGACCCCCAUAUUUUCUUCCUUGUAGGCAUAACAUCAUUCAUUAACUAUAGAAUAUUCCAUUGAAUGUAUUUCUAUAAGUUUUCAAUUUGUAUUAUUUUUCUUAUGGUGUCAUUCUUCUAAUACUUUUUUGCUUGUGCAUACAGAUUUUAGUUUUCAUGGAUUCAUUUUCAUGUAAUUUUUUUCAGACCUUUUUCAUGAAUUGUUAAAAUUUUAAAGAUUCUGUUGGUUCGAUUUGCGUGUAUUUACAUAUAAUUUAAAUACAUGAUAACGCACUUAAAAAUCUCAUAAAAUUUCCAAUCCAUUCCUGGCGCAUUCGCCAUUUAUUCAAAAACCUGACUUCCACAGGAUGAUACUUCUAGCUUUUUAGCGUUCUUUCCAAUACAUUUUCUAAGUAACAUCGACUCCAGAGCAUCAUAACUAGCCUCGAGACGAGGCUGCUUAGCUGGGAUGGGAACUGACUGGUGAGGCUUAAUCGUCGGCCAAGGGUUAAAUCUGCUGAAGGGGGCGAACUUAUAUGCUCUGGAGGAUUUUUCUUUAUGCUGUUGAUGUAAAAUUUUUACUAUAUUUUUUAGAGGAGGCUAAGCAUAAUCACUGGUCUAUUUUCCGGUUUUUAUUGACCACAUACUUCUUUAUUUGUUUUUCUAUUGUUUUUGACCAGCCUCUAUUUUACUAUUUUUGUCUCCCAUAUCUUCUCAAUAUGGAAAUGACAUCAUUCAUCAGUUCUAUCAUCUCUUUGAUUAAUUAUAUUUCUCUUCAUAUCAUAGCCAUCGCCGGCGCCGUUUUUUUUUCGAUCAUACGGUACUUAUCUAUAACCAGUUGAAUUAUCGUACUUCUACCUUAAUAAUUCAGGCAAUUUCUAAGUAUUAAAAGUUUCCUUUAAUAGGCGCAUUCGCCAUUUCGUCAAGAAAAAAACGAUAAACUUGAUUUGCAAGUUAAUAAGUCUUAUAUAUUAUGUAUAUAACUGUAUAAUUUUUUAGGUCAUUCUUCUGAAACUUUUCUCAGUUUGUCUCUCCUUUUCAUGCAAUUUUUUCAGUUUCAAUUACUUUGUCUCUCAUAUUAAAUUCAUUCUGUGAAAUCCUCUAUUGUUUUAUGCAUUUCUGAGUUAUCAGUCAUCAUUUACUUGUAUCAUAUUUUUUCUCUAUUGUGUGUUUUUAUUUCUUCUGUAUUGAUUGCAUUGCUAAAUCUCUUUUCUUUGUAUUAUUCUUUAUAUUACUGCUAUUCUCCUUCUAAAAAUUCUAGCUCUUUGAUUUCUUUUCUACUGGUGCCUACAUAGAACUGUUUUAUUUUGGAUUCAUUUUCUUUUUAUUCCGUUGCUAAUAACUUUUAAAAUUGAGUUUUUGAAUGGGAUAUUGUACUGCUUUGGAACAAGGAUUUUUUGGGACAGUAGCACAUCACAAUUCAAUCACUAUUCUUCAAGCUGCCAUUAGAAUACAAAUUCAACAUUCAACAGUGGAUUGAGAUGAAAUUCAUCAUUGAAGAGCAAGUUUUAAACAAUUUUAGGACCAAGACUUUCCAGAAGGGUAGCCAGAAGAUGUAUUUACCUCAACAUCAGUAGACAUCAACAAAUCCACCAACACCUUGGACUUCAAUAUAUUUUUUUAAAUUACUCUUGCUAAUAGAGUAUAGCAUGUUAAUAUUGUUAAUAAACAAUAAUUAAUAAUAAA
rnacentral:lncRNA from 1 species